rnacentral:rRNA from 1 species
GGCGGAUAUGCAAGUCUGGUGUGAAAGACCGCAGCUCAACUGCGGGCACGCGCUGGAAACUGCAUAUCUUGAAUCCUUGAGGGGGAACUGGAAUUCCUGGUGUAAGGGUGAAAUCUGUAGAUUUCAGGAAGAACAUCACGGGCGAAGGCCGAGUUCCUGGCAAGUGACAGACGCUGAGGCGCGAAAGCCUGGGUAGCAAACAGGAUUAGAUACCAUGGUAGUCCACGCUGUAAACGAUGUGCACUAGGCGUUGGGGUCUUGUAACCUCAGUGCCGGAGCUAACAUGGUAAGUGCACCGCAUGGGGAGUAAGCCGGCAUCGGUGAAACUCAAAGGAAUGGACGGGGGCCCGCACAUACGAUGGAGCAUGUGGUUUAAAUCGAUGAUACGCGAGGAACCUUACCAGGGCUUGACAUAUACCGGGAGUCCUGUGAGACCACGGCGCCCUUCGGGUCCGGUAUACAGGUGCUGCAUGGCCGUCGUCAGCUCGUGCCGUAGAGGUGUUGCGGUUAAGUCCCGCAACGAGCGCAACCC